CGCCCAUACCCGGGCGCAAACAAGGGACCCUCUGCACACAUCAACAACAGUCACCCUCGAAGCAUCGUUACCCAUCGCGCCGCAUAUUUUUCGCCAUUUUGUUCAAAUCUGAAAACGUUGGAGCCUAUUUUCUGAAGAACUGCAUUAUUAUGGGCCAUGAAAGAACGGAAAUGUUGUCCACUGCUUGUGUACUUUGUAUUUUGGUGAAUGAAGUGCGGGAACUUGUGGUAGACUAACUAUACCCAUACUAUGACCAAUAAGCUUACUUAAAAAAUAGUAAGAUACAGAGCUGUGAAACCCUGUCUGCAGAUGAAGAACAAUGGUUCCCAGUCCUGUUCCUGGGGUCUCAAAGGGAUGCCUUGCAACUGGAGAUUUCUUAAACGAUUGCCUACAGUUACUGUGUAGGGCACUGCACAGUUGGGUGACCAGGGCCAUCUGGGACUGUCUCGUGGGGGAUUUCAGGCAUCUGUGAAGACUACCUGUGUCCUGCAUAACUUCAUGAUGAUGAGCAGGAGGGGACCUGCAGCGCUCUGCCGUGUGCCAGAGGAGAGGUCUGCUGCUCUGCAGGAUGUUGCCAGGAUGGGGGCCAACAACACAGCACAGUAGGCAAUCCGUGUGCAGGAGACCUUCACCUCCUACUUCUUCACAAAGGAUGCUGUUCCUUGGCAACACCAUAGACUACACUAUGCUCAACCAAAGCCAUCCACAUUGCAAUAAGAGUAUUCUUCCAUUUACUUAGCUAUGUCAACUGCAGUUAUUCAAUUUCCAGUUUCUCUUCCUUUGAUUUCUACUUUGCGGGUGAGGGUGCUGUUUAGGUAGGAGUGGUGUCUGUACAAAAACAAAACAGACUCUCACCCAUUUUGAAAACAUUUAGAACAAUUAGACACCCUAUAAGCCACACCUACACACUUGUCUAUUGCUAUAAAGAAUAGUUAACACACCUCACACAGGCCUUUUUUCAGGUGAAUACGUUUUAGAAAAAAAUAUUAAAGUGUGUGUUUCUGGAAAAAAGGGCCA